rnacentral:rRNA from 1 species
CACCGAAGCUGCGGAUUGAUACCAAUGGUAUCAGUGGUAGGGGAGCGUUCUAAGGACAGUGAAGUCAGACCGGAAGGACUGGUGGAGUGCUUAGAAGUGAGAAUGCCGGUAUGAGUAGCGAAAGACGGGUGAGAAUCCCGUCCACCGAAUGCCUAAGGUUUCCUGAGGAAGGCUCGUCCGCUCAGGGUUAGUCAGGACCUAAGCCGAGGCCGACAGGCGUAGGCGAUGGACAACAGGUUGAUAUUCCUGUACCACCUCUUUAUCGUUUGAGCAAUGGAGGGACGCAGAAGGAUAGAAGAAGCGUGCGAUUGGUUGUGCACGUCCAAGCAGUUAGGCUGAUAAGUAGGCAAAUCCGCUUAUCGUAAAGGCUGAGCUGUGAUGGGGAAGCUCCUUAUGGAGCGAAGUCUUUGAUUCCCCGCUGCCAAGAAAAGCUUCUAGCGAGAUAAAAGGUGCCUGUACCGCAAACCGACACAGGUAGGCGAGGAGAGAAUCCUAAGGUGUGCGAGAGAACUCUGGUUAAGGAACUCGGCAAAAUGACCCCGUAACUUCGGGAGAAGGGGUGCUUUCUUAACGGAAAGCCGCAGUGAAUAGGCCCAAGCGACUGUUUAGCAAAAACACAGCUCUCUGCGAAGCCGUAAGGCGAAGUAUAGGGGGUGACACCUGCCCGGUGCUGGAAGGUUAAGGAGAGGGGUUAGCGUAAGCGAAGCUCUGAACUGAAGCCCCAGUAAACGGCGGCCGUAACUAUAACGGUCCUAAGGUAGCGAAAUUCCUUGUCGGGUAAGUUCCGACCCGCACGAAAGGUGUAACGAUUUGGGCACUGUCUCAACCAGAGACUCGGUGAAAUUAUAGUACCUGUGAAGAUGCAGGUUACCCGCGACAGGACGGAAAGACCCCGUGGAGCUUUACUGUAGCCUGAUAUUGAAUUUUGGUACAGUUUGUACAGGAUAGGCGGGAGCCAUUGAAACCGGAGCGCUAGCUUCGGUGGAGGCGCUGGUGGGAUACCGCCCUGACUGUAUUGAAAUUCUAACCUACGGGUCUUAUCGACCCGGGAGACAGUGUCAGGUGGGCAGUUUGACUGGGGCGGUCGCCUCCUAAAGUGUAACGGAGGCGCCCAAAGGUUCCCUCAGAAUGGUUGGAAAUCAUUCGUAGAGUGCAAAGGCAUAAGGGAGCUUGACUGCGAGACCUACAAGUCGAGCAGGGACGAAAGUCGGGCUUAGUGAUCCGGUGGUUCCGCAUGGAAGGGCCAUCGCUCAACGGAUAAAAGCUACCCCGGGGAUAACAGGCUUAUCUCCCCCAAGAGUCCACAUCGACGGGGAGGUUUGGCACCUCGAUGUCGGCUCAUCGCAUCCUGGGGCUGUAGUCGGUCCCAAGGGUUGGGCUGUUCGCCCAUUAAAGCGGUACGCGAGCUGGGUUCAGAACGUCGUGAGACAGUUCGGUCCCUAUCCGUCGUGGGCGUAGGAAAUUUGAGAGGAGCUGUCCUUAGUACGAGAGGACCGGGAUGGACGCACCGCUGGUGUACCAGUUGUUCUGCCAAGGGCAUAGCUGGGUAGCUAUGUGCGGAAGGGAUAAGUGCUGAAAGCAUCUAAGCAUGAAGCCCCCCUCAAGAUGAGAUUUCCCAUAGCGUAAGCUAGUAAGAUCCCUGAAAGAUGAUCAGGUUGAUAGGUUCGAGGUGGAAGCAUGGUGACAUGUGGAGCUGACGAAUACUAAUAGAUCGAGGACUUAACCAU